UGGGGGCGGCGAUGGUGAGGGAGGGGAGGAGCCGGGACGUGUCCAGGCUGGAAGGGAGGCCUGACUAGCAUUGUGUCCGGGGAGGCCUGUGACCUCCAGGUGUCCAGCCCUCCAGGUGCACCCGAAUGCAGAGGGGCACGUCCUUCCUCAGGCAAGGCCACAGCCUUCCCGGGACGGUCCGUGAGAUGGUUUGUGGUGCAUGAUUCCAUAGAACAGAGCACAGCCCGUGGAGGGUGCACCUCCGGACCACGCGUGUUAGCAAAGAGCACAGGUGCUUUUUUAUCCAAACCAUGGCUGCCACCCCUUCUGCUUGGUGCAUACUUUGAGAAUCCAGCAUUCUGGAGUAGAGGCUUAAUUAAAAAAAAAAAAAUUUUUUUUUCCAAGAAAAGUCACCACAUCUUGCCAUUUUAUGGUGGGACACAGGAGAUCUGAAGUACAGGGGAAAAAUACAUACCAAUUUUUCGAACACAGCUCCUUCAAGUUCAAGUGGAAAAUGAUUGAAGAUUUUUUAGGAAAAGAGAGAGAUCUCCACAGGAGGAUUAAAAAAAGAAAGAAGAGAGAUAGGGGAAACCCAACUCCAGAAAGGAGAAAAAUGACUGCCUGAAAGACACAUAAAGGAGAGGCCUGUCGUUGCCGAAGCUCUCCGGGAAAAAUGGCCAGGAUGGCUUCGGGGUGACUGGCCCUGGCUGCUGGGGAGGGUCCAGCCGAGUUCUUGAUUUCUCUGAUGGCACUUUGCAGGGCACAGACAGCUGAAGCCUGUGUACCAGGGCUGUGCUCUUCAGGGCAGAUCUUCAACCCGGAAGACAAAGAAAACCUCCGCCGGGUGUGGUGGGGUAGGGGGUGUUUAAAGCCAGGGAGACGCGACAAGACGCAGACUGGAGGGGGCAGGGCCGUCUCCGGGAGGGGAGGGGGGAGCCGCUACCUCUCCUAAUCGAGAUUAAUGGCUUGCUCAGGCGAGCGGCUGCAAACCUGCCAAAUGUGCUGACCGCCUGAAAUUAGCAAAGGUGGUGACUAAGGAAGGAAGGAAAAAUGUACAACGCGCCGGGUCCGAGUGAGCCUCACUCAUCCCGGCCUGACAUAUGACAAAUGGAAUUAACGGCGACACAGAGCGCGCAACAAGUUUUAGACAGCACCCGCCGAGGGGAUGUGAUUGAUCUCCGAGGAGGCUUCUGCGGUUGUUGAUGAGACCUUGGGAGCACGACAGAUGCCCGCAUUUGCACAAGUAUCCCCCCCCGCCCCGCCCCAAUCCCACUCACACACGCAGUACAGCCGGGCGCACACGGCUGCGUGGGCUCAGUCACGUCUCUUUUAACCGGGACAGAGUGAGUGUCCCCAGAAAUGAGAACGGAUCGUCCUGGACUCCGGCGAAACUCGCCUCGAGCGUCACACUCCAUUCCGGUCACCACCUUAUAAAAAUGUUAUUAAUCAAACAGCUGAGCGGCAUGAGGAGACGCACAGAAGCUGAUUCUCAGACUUGAAAGUCUGAGCGCCCUUAAAAGGGCUGCAUUUGUACAGCUUGCGGGGGGAGAAACAGAAGGGGAAAGAAGAGGAGAAGAAACUCCAUGAAAAGUAUUCAGGACCUGAAAUACUUGUGGGGAAGAUGAAUCUAUUACGGCAAAAUAGCAAAAGUCAGAGGCGAUAUUAGAGGUAGAUGUGAGUAGCUGGACAUUUCUUUCAAAAAACCGAUUAUAGAGAGCAAAAGAUAUGUACACAAACUGUAACCAAACCAAAACAAAAACACAAACCAAUGGCAAAAACAUCUCAGUGCUUUCCUGCGACACAACGGAAAUAACAGACUAGCAUCAGUGUGCCCACUGGGGCAGAUUCCCUAAUUGUGUUUCUCUCUGAAAUUCACAGUAAUAUUCGUACAUUUGAUUUUUUUUCUCCAUUUCUAAAGACAAAUUCAAUGGUGAGUCAAAAUCUUUUUUUAAAAAUAGAUGCCUUUAAGAAAAACCAUAUGGAAUGAUGGUAUUUUCUCCUAUCUUAUGACUGAUAAACUACACAGGAAGGUUUUGUUUCAUCCUGAGACCUGUUAGCUAGCACUGAUUAGUGCCUUUUAAUAAGACUUCUUUUUCUUAUCCUUUUUUAACAUAUUGUUUUAAGAAGUUGAGACCACAAGAAAACGCAAGAUUACAAGAAGACAUAAAACCUGUCAUUCUGAAUCCAUGUCAACGGGAGGGUCUCGUAACCAGAAGCACCAAGAGAUGCGGCUGAACAGUGACGUCCUCUGCAGCGUUCCCCCUCCACAGUGAGGUACUAACCAGACAGCCCUCCCCGGGAGACAGGCAGCCAUGUUCCCAAGUCAGGACAUCCCGCUCCAUCUGCGUUGCCAAGCAUUGAUGCCACUGCAUGUUGGGCCCUGCGCUGGCUGGUGGCCUGGGGUUCAAAGAGGAUGAGACCAGUCCCCUUCACAAGGACCUGACUGUCUACCAGUGGAAAUGAUGGCUCUGAUGCUGUUGUAACAACUACUAUUUGUUCAGUCACUACUGCAUAAAUUCUUCACAGACUUCUUUAAA